rnacentral:lncRNA from 1 species
CAGCUGAUGAUGAAGAGAGAGGCAGUGGCAGAGGGGGGGCACCUUUUAUUUCUAUUUUUAAAGGGACAGGACACUAAUUUUACCCCACUUCAACCUUGAAUUGAGGGGGGUGGGGGGAAGGCGGCUGAGUUCCUUCCCCCACCCUCCAGCCCUGAGACCUGAGAGGGGGAUUGAGCCUGAGAAAGAAGGAGAAGGAGUUUCUUCUUCUUCCAAACCCCCCCAUCCACGACUCCUACCCCCUCACCCCUCCACUAGCCUCCCUCCCGAGCCCUCUCCAUCCUCCUCCUCUUUGGCCGUGAGAGGAGAGAAAGAGACCAAAAGCCUCUUAGCAACACAGACCCUUCUCUGCUGCUGCUGCUGCUGCUGUUGCUGUUGCUGCUGCUGUUGCUGCUGCUGCUGCUGCUGCUACUGCUGCUUGGCCCUGGCUGGAGACAUCUCACUACACCCAGGAGCAGCCACUUCCCCAGCUCUCCUCCUCCUUCGCCUCCUCCUCCUCCUCCACUCCCCCCCUCUUUAUUACCCUUUGUGUCAUCCUCCACAGCUCCAGGGAAGGCACUCAAAAGUGGGGGGCAGGAAAGAUGCUUAUUGAGGAUAUCAUUUUCUGUGUGUGGGAAUUAGAUACUGAAGGUUACAUGGUUUACAGACAAGAUCUUUAAAAAGAGACAUUCAAGGACCAAGGAAAUAAAUACCAGAAACCAAGAGCACAGAGUAUUUUCCUUCAUCAAACCAUAGACUCUUCUCUAGUUUAAUCAAACACAAAAGAAUGACCACCUUGGCAAAUGGCCACAGAGGAUGUCAACAAUUUUUUGGAGGUAAGCAAUGAAAUUCUUGUGCUAUGAGUUUUCAAUUACCAAGUACAUGGUGACAAGUAGAAUUAUGUUUUAAUGAAAAAUAAGUGUUCUUUAAUAUAGCGGUUUAUAUAAGUACAGCUAUUGUCCCCUUCCUUUUUUUUUUCUUUGAGCACUGUUGCAUGUGAAAAAUUACAUUAAGCCACUUUUGCACUUACCUCGAGUACUGUAUAAGACUGAAUUAUAUCCCUAAAUACAAAAUAAAAAUUUAAAUAGCUGAAAUUCAGUACCCAUGCUUGAAAACAGGGCUGUUGGCAUUUAUCUUGGAUGCACAAAUCAUAUAACUAUAAAUACUAAAUAGUUUGGAAGUUAAAGUUAUCUUCUGUUUAUUUUAAAAUUAUCCAUACCAUAUAUGAAUUUUUUUUCAUUUAAUUCCUGCACUUUUUUGGCCUCAAACAUUUUCAAGCAAUUGUUCUAAAGGGCUCCAAAAUCCUUGAGAUGUCAUCCUUUACAUCCCUAUCAGCUUUAUUUUUUGUGAGGUUCCUGCAUCACAAGAUGCCAUUGAACUUUUAGUUAUUUUUACAGGAGCUCUUAAUACUCCUGGAAAAAUAGCUGGCCAAGGAUUGUGGACCACGGUGCCAUCUUCAAUAUGAAAAUUAAUUACAUUACCCUUUAGAGGAAGUUUGGUUGAAAAGAAAUUGAAAACUGCAUUAUAACAAAAAUAAUAUAAGGAAUUUGCCUUCUCUGCUUUCAUAAACAGUAUUUAAGUGGGUGAAUAUAAAAUGAAAUAAAAGUAAACUUAUGAAAACAUAAGUAGAAUGCAAGAAAAUUGAUUUUUUCCAACAUUUUAUAUGAACAAAGAAACUGUAGAUAUGUCAGAAUUUUUAAUUUAGUGUUAAUUCAACCCAUAGGCCUAAGGUCAUCCAGCAAACGAGCCCGCUUUUUAAGUUGUACAUAAAAGGACAUUUUCCAAGUGAAGGAGGCCAUAAAUGUUUAAAAAGCCCAGUGUAGAGCCUUCUGAGUUUUCUUUCGGUAACUAGAGACAAAAUUAAUUCUUGCUUUUCUGUUGAGGAAAAUUUCAUCUAAUUACAUUCAAAUUAUUCUGCAACUUUUUGGACAGCAAAGCCUGGUCACCAAAGAAAAGAAAAAGCAGCUGUGUUGCCUUUUCCUCAUAGUUAUAAGAAUAGUAUUAUUAUGCAGUCACUAGGCUUUAUAGAACCGUAAGUGUUUAUCCUCUGACUGCCUUCUGGUAGGUACAUACCUAAACCUUUCUGAACUGCUGAUAAAGUAAGCCUUCUGUUUUUAAGGCUCUUCAAAGAAAUAGAUUUCAUUGCUUCUUUUAGCAAACCAAUCUGGAAUAACAGCUCUCAGGAGUAGGGAAUUCUUUCUUAACCCUUUUAUUGAGUGAUUGUUUCUGAAAUUUCUUUUCUCAGAAUCAUGCUUUAAUCAUAAUUUAAAUCUCUUCUUAGUUUCAUGUAAUCUACUUAAGGUUUAAGAAAAUACUUAAAGUUGAUCGCUGCUAAAAUUAAUAGAAAUAAUUUCCAUAAACAAUACUUCUCCAUUAGCAGCCUAUUGUUAAAUUUCUUCCUCUAAUAUUUCGUUUUUGAUCUUAUCUAGUGUCACAUCUUAUUUUGAUCUUAAGUUAUUCUUUAACCACAGAAACAUAUCUUGUGUCAGAUAAUUGUAAUUUCUCUUUCUUCCACACACAUUAUGUUAAGAACCAGCCCUUUGUUCUCUUUGAAUUGCAUUCUAUUUAUGACCAUGUCAUUAAUAAUUCUAAUCAAAAGUGCUGGUGAUUUCAUUUUCUUCUCAUAUUUUAAGGUCGAUUUGCAAAUUAUGAUUUAAAAAAAUGUUGAUAGUUAGAAAGGCAAUUAGAACAUCGUGGGUAUGACUAUAAGCUUGCUAUACAAGAACACAAAUUCAUAGAACAGAUUAAGACUGACUGAUUAACCACACCUGUGCCACUCCCACCAGCUGUGUUACCUUGGGUAAAUUACUGAUUCUCUUUGUCCCCCAAUUUGUAUAUCUUUAAAAUUUGAUAAUUAUAGCAUUGUAAGGAUUAAAUGGGAUGGAUAAUGUAAGUAAAAGCUUAGCUACUUAGCAGUUGGGUGGCAUAUAAUUCAAUAAAUAGGUGAUGUAAUUAUUAUACUUUUUGCAAAAGCAAUAAUGAAUUUGUCCAUUAUAUUCAUACCAGCUUUAUUUUACAUCAUGUUUCUGGUACUGCUACUAAGUUUUUUUUUCACAUUGAAUUUCCUCAAUGAGCAUUUUAAAUUUUAUGUUCAAGCAUGUAAAAAUGCAGUUUAUGCAGAAAUCGCUGGUAAAACAAACAAACAAAUAAAAACAUGGUUGUUUAAAAAAAAUGGCUGGUAGCCUUUUAGUCUCAUGAAAACUAUGUAUAUUACAAAUUUUGCAGGAGGUUUUACUGGAUGUUCCUGAUUUAUUGCCUGUUCUAAAAUUUUAACUUUAUUUGAACAACUAUUACUUGGAGAAAUAUUCCAUUCACAAUGCAGAGUGAUCUAAAAAAUCUUCUUUGGAUUAAAUAUCUUUUAUGGAUACUUUGAUCAAAUCUUUAAUUAGUCUGAGACGCUGGUUUAAAAUUUCAUUAGAGGAGUUCUCUUGUGGCACAGUGGGUUAAGGAUUUGGCAUUGUCACUGCAGCAGUUUGGGUCACUACUGUGACAUAGGUUUGAUCCCUGUCCCAGGGAACCUCCAAAUGCCUCAAGCACAGCCAAAGAAAAAAAAGAAAGAAAGAAAAAAGAAAUAAAUAUCACCAGAAAAAAAUAAAACUGGCAGUUUAGUUCUCCGUGUUAGUUUCUUAGGUCUCCUGUAACAAAUUACCAUAAACCGGGUGGUUUAAAAUGAACCUUUCCACAGAAAAGAAAAUCACGGACUUGGAGAAUAGACUUGUGGUUGCCUAGGGGGAGGGGGAGGGAGUGGGAGGGAUUGGGAGUUUGGGGUCAACUGAUGCAAACUAUUGUUCAUGCAAUAGAUUUACAAUGAUAUCCUGCUGUGUAGCACUGAAAACUAUGUCUAGAUACUUACAACGCAGCACGACAAUGGGAGAGAAAAUUAUGUAUACAUGUAUGUGUAACUGGGUCCCCAUGCUGCACAGUGGAAGAAGAAAAAAAGUGU